rnacentral:lncRNA from 10 species
UUAUUUUUAGUGAGACUGAAAGCUAAUAGGCAGCUGCCAGCAGUGGAGUGACAGGAUAGAGAAACAACUGUAGAGGAGCAAGAGAUGAUGGUGACUCAGACCAAAGUGGAAGCAGUGGAGGCAGUACCUGAAACACAUUCAUCACAGUCAAAAGGAAGUGAAGAGACACAGAAGGGAAGCAAGAUACUGAGAUGCUGCCAAGUAUCCCAGAGUCCAUGAUGGAGUAGAGAUGAAACAAUAGACCCAGGUCAUUCCUCUGCUGGAGGUUCUGAGGCAAGCAGUAGUGCUCUGCAGAUGAACAUUCAUGACAACUUGCCUUUCAACUGGAGGUGUGUGACAGCCAGAAAAAUACCAUCGAGGUAAAGCUUUUUUCUCCUAGAGGAGCAACUGACUCACCGCAGCAUGUUGUUAUGUGGACCUCGAGUCUGUGGACUAGUGACCUUCACCUCCUUCAGUGUGUGGGUCUGUCCAGGGCUUCCAUCCCUCCAGUAAGAACCCUAACCCACAUUCCUGCAUUUGAUAACUUUGAGUUAAAUCAAGAAAAGCUUGGAAAUUUGGACAUAGUUGUUUAUAAGUCACUCA